rnacentral:rRNA from 1 species
AACGAACGCUGGCGGCAGGCUUAACACAUGCAAGUCGAACGCCCCGCAAGGGGAGUGGCAGACGGGUGAGUAACGCGUGGGAAUCUACCUAGUUCUACGGAACAACUGAGGGAAACUUCAGCUAAUACCGUAUACGCCCUAAGGGGGAAAGAUUUAUCGGAAUUAGAUGAGCCCGCGUUGGAUUAGCUAGUUGGUGGGGUAAUGGCCUACCAAGGCGACGAUCUAUAGCUGGUCUGAGAGGAUGAUCAGCCACACUGGGACUGAGACACGGCCCAGACUCCUACGGGAGGCAGCAGUGGGGAAUAUUGGACAAUGGGCGCAAGCCUGAUCCAGCCAUGCCGCGUGAGUGAUGAAGGCCUUAGGGUUGUAAAGCUCUUUCAGUGGGGACGAUAAUGACGGUACCCACAGAAGAAGCCCCGGCUAACUUCGUGCCAGCCGCCGCGGUAAUAC